UACGAAGGUGGCAAGCGUUGUUCGGAUUUACUGGGCGUACAGGGAGCGUAGGCGGUUGGAUAAGCCCUCCGUGAAAUCUCCAGGCUUAACCUGGAAAGUGCAGAGGGGACUGUUCAGCUAGAGGAUGGGAGAGGAGCGCGGAAUUCCCGGUGUAGCGGUGAAAUGCGUAGAGAUCGGGAGGAAGGCGGGUGGCGAAGGCGGCGCUCUGGAACAUUUCUGACGCUGAGGCUCGAAAGCGUGGGGAGCAAACAGG
rnacentral:rRNA from 1 species